rnacentral:rRNA from 1 species
CAAAGGUAGUAAUAGUUAUGUUCUUGAAACUUAAAAAAUUUGGCGGUAUUUUAGUCUAUUCAGAGGAACCUGUUUUAUAAUCGAUAAUCCACGUUGGACCUUACUUAAUUUAGUAAAUCAAUUUAUAUACCGUCGUUAUUUGAAUAUUUUAUAAGAAAAAUAAUAUUCAAUAAAUUUAAUAAAAUUAUAUAUCAGAUCAAGGUGUAGUUAAUGAUUAAGUAAAAAUGGGUUACAAUAAAGUUAUUUAAAUGAAUUUAAUUAUGAAAAAUUUAAUGAAGGUGGAUUUGAAAGUAAAUUUAUAAAGAUAAAUAGAUUGAUUUUAGCUCUAAAAUAUGUACACAUC